rnacentral:miRNA from 1 species
GAAUGAGUAACUGCUAGAUCCU